rnacentral:piRNA from 1 species
UGAAGCAGGAGAAUCCCAGGCUGAAGC